rnacentral:lncRNA from 1 species
UUCUCUCUCUCUCUCUCUCUCUCUCUCUCUCUCUCUCUCUCUCUCUCUCCCUCCCUCCUUCCCUCCCUCCCCCCCUCUCUCUCUGUAUGUGUAUGUGUGUGUGUGAUCCACGGAUUCAAGGAGCUAGUAGCGCAACCACCUCCUGGAGCAAAGGCAGAUGCUACCUAGCUAGGGAGCACCCAGAAUCCACCUGUCUCUACCAGCACUGAGAUUGUCAACACUCCCACCCUCACCCAAGUUUCUAUGUGGGUGCCGUGGAAUCUGAAUUUAGGUCCUCAUAGCAAGCACCUUACCCACUGAACCAGCUGCCCAGCCCCGAUGUGUAAACUUGCAUAUCAAUGGAAGAGAGUCCUUGGAGAGAUAGGUACUGUUUCAAUUUCUUACAGUGGACUAUAGUCCCAGGAGACAGGAAAGUCACUGGCUUGAGAUUGUACAUUUUUAAGUUCUGAAUCAAAGGUUUAAUCCCAGGACCCCAGUAUGUCACUAUGCCACUUUGACAGUUAUGAGACACUGACGGCUACUGGCCUUUUUGUGUUACAGGCCUGCCAGUAUGGUGAAAUGUAUGAACUGUCUGCCCAGGGAAACCCUCAAAGGGGCUACAUAAAAGUGUUCAACUUCAGAAUCUUCCAAAGUUAAGGGCAACACAACUGGGCUUACGGCUGUUGUCCUGGGAAAUGAAGAGAGCCAUCUUGGACUGAUGAAUGGCAAAGGGAGGAGUUUCCCAGGGAAGCAAAGUUGAGA